AUGUUUUUUUUAUUCAUUUAAUGUAUUAUUAAUGCAUAAUUUAAAAAAAAUAUUAAUAUUCUUCAAUCCUUCACUAUAUUCUCUAUAAGUGUGGGAAAUUUCAUACUCCUCUGUCCGCGUAUUUUUCGAAGAAAAAGGAUGAAAAGUUGUUUGCUAGUCGAUUUGUUAAUUAAUUAUCUUUAGACCUUACAAUAUUAAACCAGCGGAAACAAUGACGAUAUAUUCGGCAUUGCCCUGGUCAUGACAUUUACGAUGAUAAAAGUAUCCUGUUUGAUGAUAACCGAGUGUGUGCGAAACUUCGUCGAAAUCUGUUUAUCCAUUUUUAAGUUUUUCCGCGAUUAAGUAACAAGCAUCCAACCAUACAAACUUUCACAUUCAUUAUGAAUGAUUCAAAAUAACAGUAUGGUUGUUAAUAUUUUAAUUGUAUUAUACGUAAUUUGGUAAAUACUUGUUUUCUUUGUCUAGUAAAUAAAUUACUAAAGAUACAUAAAAUA